rnacentral:tRNA from 1 species
GCGCCUGUAGCUCAGUGGAUUAGAGCAUCUGACUACGGAUCAGAGUGUCGGGAGUUCGAAUCUCUCCAGGCGCG